UUGUGUGAUGAUUUCCUGAUAGGGACAGCUUAUGCUCAAUGCGUAUGAUGUGAAUGGGAAAGAGUAUUUUAGUAGAUGCUUCUCACUUCUGACU
rnacentral:snoRNA from 1 species